rnacentral:rRNA from 1 species
GACGAACGCUGGCGGCGUGCUUAACACAUGCAAGUCGAACGGAAAGGCCCUGCUUUGGUGGGGUUCUCGAGUGGCGAACGGGUGUGUAACACGGGAGUAACCUGCCCUUGACUUUGGGAUAACUUCAGGAAACUGGGGCUAAUACCGGAUAGGAGCUCCUGCGGCAUGGAGGGGGGUGGAAAGUUUCGGCGGGUGGGGAUGGACUCGCGGCUUAUCAGCUUGUUGGUGGGGUAGUGGCUUACCAAGGCUUUGACGGGUAGCCGGCCUGAGAGGGUGACCGGCCAGAUUGGGACUGAGAUACGGCCCAGACUCCUACGGGAGGCAGCAGUGGGGAAUAUUGCACAAUGGGCGGAAGCCUGAUGCAGCAACGCCGCGUGCGGGAUGACGGCCUUCGGGUUGUAAACCGCUUUCGCCUGUGACGAAGCGUGAGUGACGGUAACGGGUAAAGAAGCACCGGCUAACUACGUG